AAAAUUAUUUUAUUUAUUUAUUGUCUUGCUUAAUUUCCCUGUUUAUUUCCCACAAUUCUGGGUUUAGUGAAUAAUCCUAGGUGUUUCUGCUUUGCACGCUUAUUUCAGGCAGGCCACUGAUUGCUCUGUUUAGAGUUUACAGGCUGUAAAUUGACAUCUCUUCGAAUGUGGCCAAAGUUCCAGAAUCAGGAAGGAUAAUUGGUGAUCCCAGCCCUCCGCACUCUAUCCUUCCAUACCUCUCCCUUUGUAAUCUCCAUGCUGAAAUUUCAUAUCUAUGGGAGGCAGACAGCGCCAAAAACCACACUUAAUAAUGACUUGUCUAGGUAGCCAUAAUUAAGCUACUUAAAGGAC